rnacentral:rRNA from 1 species
UACGAAGGGGGCUAGCGUUGCUCGGAAUGACUGGGCGUAAAGGGCGCGUAGGCGGAGUGCUUUGUCGGGCGUGAAAUUCCAGGGCUCAACCUUGGGGCUGCGUUCGAGACGGGCAUUCUAGAGUUCGGAAGAGGGUCGUGGAAUUCCCAGUGUAGAGGUGAAAUUCGUAGAUAUUGGGAAGAACACCGGUGGCGAAGGCGGCGACCUGGUCCGAGACUGACGCUGAGGUGCGAAAGCGUGGGUAGCAAACAGG